ACGCUCGACACUACGGGAGCAGCAGUGGGGGAUAUUGCGCAAUGGGGGAAACCCUGACGCAGCAACGCCGCGUGAAGGACGAAGGUUUUCGGAUUGUAAACUUCUUUUGUCAGGGACGAAGAAAUGACGGUACCUGACGAAUAAGCUCCGGCUAACUACGUGCCAGCAGCCGCGGUAAUCUGAGCGGGCUGGCAAGGC
rnacentral:rRNA from 1 species